AGUGAACGCUGGCGGUAGGCCUAACACAUGCAAGUCGAACGGCAGCACCGUAAGAGCUUGCUCUUACGGGUGUCGCGUGGCGGACGGUUGCGGAGUAUAUCGGAAUCUACUUUUUCGUGGGGGCUAACGUAGGGUAACUUACGCUAAUACCGCAUACGACCUACGGGUGAAAGCAGGGGAUCUUCUGACCUUGCGCGAUUGAAUGAGCCGAUGUCGGAUUAGCUAGUUGGCGGGGGAAAGGCCCACCAAGGCGACGAUCCGUAGCUGGUAUGAGGGGAUGAAUAGACACACGGUAAGUGAGACAGGGUCGAGACUCCGACAGGAGGCAGCAGUGGAGAAUAUUGGACGAGGGACGCAAGGCUGAUCCAGCCAUACCGCGUGGGUGAAGAAGGACUACUGGUUGGAAAGCGCUGUUGUUGGGAGAGAAAAGCAGCACGUUAAUACCCCACUGUUCUGACGGUACCCAAAGAAUAAGCACCGGCUAACUUCGUG
rnacentral:rRNA from 1 species